GCAGGGAAAGGGCCGGGGCUGCACUGCCACAACAAGGAUCAAGCCCCUUGCGGCUCCCCUGCUGUCCGCCCCUUGUAUGCCAACAUCUUACAAGUCACGGUUGCGAGUGUUUUUGGCACUCUGCCCAAAAUGGUUGCCAUCCUUUCAUGUGUAGCGUAAAAGCAAAGAGGCAUUUGAUUCUUUUUGCAGUAUAAAAUUAGUCAGAUGAAAGUAAAAAGGACUUUCUUGAAAGAAACGGCUACAGCAGGAUUACAGAGAAUUAUCUUCUCUCCCUUGGUAAUCAGUUCUGGAGUAGUACGCUCCAAAACUGUAUUUCUUGCAUUUUAGGAAACUAAACCAAGCAAUAAUACUGUGUAGAUUUAUGGCAGGCAGUUCAAGUAGAAUCUUUUGAAAUAGAAACAUCUAUUCCAGAUGUGAUAGUAGCCUUGCUUCUAAUCAAAAGAUUGUUGACAUAGCCUUCUCGUUUCAGGCUAAUGACAUGGAAUGCAAUAAGAUACACAUUUAGACACCAUCCUCGUCAAUAUUCUGCCAACUGUUUUUAAAAAAAAAAAAAGUAAUUGAGUGGUGCUUGCAAAGAUAUUAUUCAGUUUCAGGUGGAAUCCUCAAAGUUAUUUGAUAAUGAUAGGCCUGUUAAGGUGGAACACUGACAUCACUUUGGAGAAGCAUCUUGGUGGCUUCCUAAGUUUUACCUUAUCUUUACUAAAUAAAUAAUUUUUAAGUGUUAUUCACUGGGACUGAAGCUUAGUCACCCAGCAAAAUUUAAUCAUUACCAUCUGGAAAAUGACCUUCAGCCUGAAAAAUGUAAGUUCACAAGAAUGGCAUGAUGAAGUCUUUUUUUGAAGUAUCCUUGUCAGGUCAACAUUAACAUUCCAUUGUACAAGUGACUUAUUAAUUGGAGGUUUCAGAAAUGUCCGAAUGCAUGAAACUGACAGGGAGCUGGAUAUAUGCCAUUCUAUCUUUGAUUAGUUUGUGAUGGUUUAAAAAAGAUGCCAGAUAUUCCUGAAAGUGAGUGAGUUUUUUACUUUCACCUGCCUAGGUCUAGUAAAGCAAUUUCUGUGUAGAAGGAGUAAUGGAAUUCAUAUGGACCUUAUUACAUCAGGUUUAAAGCUGUAGAUCCUGCUGGUAGAUGACUGAUUCAUUAGCAGCUUGAAUGAACUUUCCCAACAGCUAGACAGGUCAUCAGGGAGAAGUCUCAUGAAGCCAGUCCUACAGGAGUGUAACUGGUUUGCCUCUAGAAGGAUUUGGAAUUUUGUAUGUGCCACAUUUCUUUGGUGUGAGAGUCUAAGGAUGUUACCCUUCCACAUCUCUACAUGUUAUGGGUAAUUGCAUCAUGGCACUGCAGUAAGCCAUCCUGGAUAAAAAGCUACACUAACAUGGUUCACUGCUGUGUGGCUUUGUUGGAUGCCAUAUGUGCAAAAAAUGGACAUUGAGGAAUGGCCAACGGAAAAGGAAAGCCAAUAUGAAAGAUAAGCCACUAAGAAAUUUGCUGCAGAAACAGCAGAGAAAAUAAAGAUGCAUCAAGUGUCCCUCAGACAGUCUUUUAAAUACUGUGAGGCUGAAGUACUCUUAACUCAUGUUAUCCACUGGAGGGAAACAUAAAGAAUUGGUAAAAGAUAUUGGUAUAUUCCAGGAGCCAGAAAUCCUGGAGGAAUGUCUGAUGAUGUACAGUCUGGUGCAAGUUGGUCCAGCCCCAGAGACUCAUGAAGCUAGUAGAAUUCUGGAACUCUGGAGGGACAUUCCCACUGACUUUGGCACCUAAUCUGUGGAGGGCUUGGUUGAUUUAUGGAAUAGCACACCUGACGUCUGCCAAAGACACAGUGGCACACAGGCAUCUACUCCUCCUGUGGCACUGGUGGCAUAGUUCUCCCCAGUAUCUAGGGGAGUUGAUGCAGCUGAAGUGGUAGGACACAACUGGGUCUCAUCCCAUGCUGAAUCCAACUAAUUGUGGCAUAGAUCCUUCUUGAAGGACAUGGCAUGGCAGUUCUGGAAAAAAAAGUCUUUUAAUCUCUACUGCCAUUGCAUCUGCAAAGUUCCCUCCGGUAGAACUGGUCUUGGUGGUGAAUGGUAUAGUUAAUGCAGGUGUUCACCACCUGCAAAUAGUCUUUUAUAGUCUGCUGAGACAAGUUUGCCAUCUACUUUGCAGACAAAAUCUCCCUUAUUCAGUACAGCUUGGGCACCACUACUUUUUCCUGCAGAGUCAGAAUUCAGGGUUGGGAUCUGUCUUGUCCAGUUUAUAUGGAUUGGUUCCAACUGGUGUCACCAUCUGAUGCAAAGUAUGUGCUCAGGGGAUGCAGGUGACCAGCGGUGAACUGGACCCAUGUCUGUGCUGGCUUGCACAAGUCUGUUGAGGGAACUGGGGCUGCUGCUAGAAGGGCCUGUGAGUGCUUCCUUUCUUCAGGAGGUCAGGUUACCAGAUAUUCUUAAGUCUGCAGUUGUCUGGCCCUAACCCUAGAAAUUGUUGCUUGAUACCUUCACCCUGUCUCCAAUCUAUCCUUUUUUGAGGAAGGUCAUUGAACCUUCAGGAAGGUCCAGCAGCUUCAGACACAUCUGGAUGUUAUUCCUAGACCCCUCAGUCUGGCUUUCACCCCAAAUAUAGCAGAGACUGCGCCUGUGGCAUUGGUUGAUGCACUUCACUUAGAUAUUGAUGGGAAAUUGUACCCUGCUGCUCUUGCUAGAUCUUUCAGUGGCUUUUGGUACAGUUGUCUGUGAGGUGAUGAUGAUGGUUCCAUGACCUAGUGAGCAUUUAUGGUACCCUGUUAAUCGGUUCUGCUCUUUCCUAGCAGGAAAGUCUUAGAGGGUGGUUAUAGGUGAGAGCUUGUUGUUCCCUAGGAUUCCAUCCUACUGGUCAACAUCUAUAUGAAGCUGCUGAGUAAAAUUAUGCAGAGAUAUGGAGCAAGGUGCCAUCAGUAUGCUGAUGACACACAGCUCUAUCUUUCUCUUUUGACCUGGACUCCGCAGUCUGUGUCCUUUUCCAGUGUCUGACUACAUUUGGAGAUUGGAUGCAGGUGAACCAAUUGAAGCUGAAUCCAGAGUUUCUCAGCCUUGGGGUGGAAUGAGAUCCUGUGCUGUACCUGGAUCAUCAAGUGGUAGCAGCAGCCAGGAGUGCCUUUCACCAGCUUCAUCUGGAGAGAAGGCUACAACCCUUUCUUUCUAAUUUGGCCACAGUCACCCGUGCCUUCAUAAUCUUGAAGCUAGACUACUACAGUGUAGGGCUGCAGUUGAUGACUGGAAGCUGCAGCUGGUACAGAACGCAGCAGCUCACCAUUUGACUGGGGUUGAACAUAACUGGUGCUUCAGUGGCUUGCCAGGCAAAAUUCAAGGUGAUGAUUUGACUUACAAGGCCUUAAGUAGUCUGAAGACUACAUGCCUAAAGGGGAACACCUUGUCUUUUAUGCCCUUUGUGAUCCCUGAGGUUAGCCAAGAGCCACGUCCUGUGCAGAGCAUGAAUCCAUCAAGUUUGCUUAGCAGAAACAUGUGGGAGGUCAUCUGUGUAGUCCCUCAUUUCUGGAACUUCUUCCCCCUUGAGGCUCAUCAGAGCCUGAGUUUGGACAUCUUUUAGAAAUGGUGCAAGACCUUCCUGUUUGAUGAGGGAUUUAGUAGACGAAGCAAAACUGGGGUAUUGUGUUUGGUGUGGGUGCUCUGAAGGUUACCUUAAUAAUCUACUGGCUACAGAA